GUGUCAGCCGCCGCGGUAAUACGUAGGGUGCGAGCGUUGUCCGGAAUUAUUGGGCGUAAAGAGCUCGUAGGCGGUCUGUCGCGUCGGUCGUGAAAACUUGGGGCUUAACCCUGAGCUUGCGGUCGAUACGGGCAUGACUUGAGUUCGGCAGGGGAGACUGGAAUUCCUGGUGUAGCGGUGAAAUGCGCAGAUAUCAGGAGGAACACCGGUGGCGAAGGCGGGUCUCUGGGCCGAUACUGACGCUGAGGAGCGAAAGCGUGGGGAGCGAACAGGAUUAGAUACCCUGGUAGUCCACGCCGUAAACGGUGGGCGCUAGGUGUGGGGGCCAUUCCACGGUCUCUGUGCCGCAGCUAACGCAUUAAGCGCCCCGCCUGGGGAGUACGGCCGCAAGGCUAAAACUCAAAGGAAUUGGCGG
rnacentral:rRNA from 1 species